rnacentral:lncRNA from 1 species
AGCUUUCGCCCGAUGUUCAGAGUUAAAGCAUCCUGCCAACAAUUUUGGAUGGUAAAGGCGUUAAGUGUUCACAAAAGACAAAGAUGGCGAAGGAGGCGACUUGACCCCUAGUUAGAAGCUACUGCACUCUCGCUUGCUGCCCUGAUUGAUGUCGUGUCUGUGCCAGCAUCUACAUACCCACCUCAGCAAGGCGCCUCCUUCACUACUAUUUCUAGGGUUUUUUUAUUUCUACACCUUUUGCUAUCCCAAGCCUUCGUGAACUUUCAGUGGCCCUCAAACCACUUCCAUUUAAGUCAGAGGAGUAGCACUUCCUCCAGUGACCCAGCAGAGACUCAUUUGACUGGGCCUAAAAGCGCAGUACUAUGUUGACAGAACCUACCCUCCUCUGGCCAUAUGAGCAGGCUAUUCAUUUUAGUUGGUGCAUUGCCUAGGAAACACUCUGCUGUGAUGCUCUCCUGCUCUUGCAGUGGGCAUAAGCUCAAUAAAUGUCCUCUUGUCUGCUUCU